GCUGUGUCCACACCCAAAUCUCAUCUUGAACUUUAGUGCUCAUAAUCCCCAUGUGUCAUGGGAGGGACCCAAUAGCCGGUAAUUGAAUCACGCGGACAGUUUCCUCAUGCUGUUCUCAUGAUAGUGAGUGAGUUCUCACGAGAUCUGAUGCUAUUAUAAGGGGCUUUCCCCAUUCAUUCUGCACUUCUCCUUGCUGUCAUCAUCUGAAGAAGGAAUUAUUUGCUUCCCCUUCUGCCAUGAUUAUAAGUUUCCCGAGGCCUCCCCAACCAUGCUGAACUGAUUAUGGCUUGGAGCCUCAAAUCACUUUGUGAUUCAAGAUGGCAACUGGAAGAAAGAGGAGAUAACAAAAAGAGACCCAAAGUGACACCAAGUCUGAGCACACCAUUGGAGAACCUAGGAAGCUCUACCCUAAAGAACUUUCAGACAUGUGCACAAGAAGACCUCUCCCUCCAAUCCCAAAGGGGUCAGAAACUGCAAUUAGCAAGCUGGAGGAGGAGGAGGAGGAGGAAGAGGCACAGAAGCAGGAGGUGGGGAGCCUGAGACAGAGAUCAUCCUGUCUGCCCUUCCCACUUCAGGCUACCACCUCUUGCAGACCUACGUUAAAUGAAAUGAGAAGCCUCAACUUUGACUACUAUUAAGAGACCUGGAUUCUUUGGCCCGCAUGCCCUACCAUGAGCCAGGGUCACCUUCCUGACAGAUUCAUCUCUUAGACUCUCAAAUGCACAUCACCUGACAUGAAGUUCUGUCCAGCUCUGUGCUUCCUCCACUCUGCCCCAACGACCAGAUUCGACCUCUCUGUAGCAACACCAGCCCACAUCAAAACUGGUCAUGCCACACCCACAGGGAGGAAUCCCAGCCCUUCCCAGUUAUGCCUUCAGCCUCUACCUGUCCCAUCACCCUUUGCUGCUGAGAUCCCAGUAUGCCUUGCGGUUGAACCCAUAGAAAGUUGGAAUGAAAAAAAGAACUAGGAGGCACUCAUCUGCAACUAUUUCUUGUGAUGAAAAAUGGUGCAACCAUUAAAGGAGAAAGGAGGAAAGGAAAAAUUGGGGUCUUAAAAAGUACCCUUCAGUUAUCAUAUAAGACUAGAAAAGCAGCCACAAAGUGUUCUUAAUGUUACUCAGUGGUUAUCAUUUCAAAUCAGACUCAGACCAGGAAGAUGCAAGGAUAAUCAUGAAAUAUGAGGCACACCGCUGCUGAGCACCAGUUAGUUCCAAAUGUGUUCAUUUAUUCAUUUGCAGUAACAGCCUCGGAAAUCAGUGGAGUGGUCUCUAGGAAGUAAAGGAAUAAAAUAAUUUUCCAACUCUCAUAGUCAGAGGGCUAAUUCAAAUUUCAAAAGGAACACUAACUUGCUUAAAGUACCAUAAAAAUAGAGAGGGGGCGGGGAGAGUGGAAAUUCCAUCCUGCUUUAAUCACUGUCUCCUGCAAGUUUCCUUAAUGAUUUCCAGCUGCCUCCAUUUAGGCUGUUGCUUUGACAGAACUUUCAUACAAACUUGGAACAUUUAACGUAUCCAAAUUUUUUUUUUUUACUUUGCCCUCAACUGCAUUCUAACCAAAAGCAGAUUUCUCUUGGAUUAUAUAAGAAUAUGAUGAGCUGGAAAGGGGCGGAGUGAGGCAAGGAGUCUGCCUUUGCUUUUUGCAGUCUCCACAAACCAUUUCACAAGAGGCACAAAGGAAAAUGUGAAAACCCAAGGAGAAGCCCACACCCUUGUAGAAAGCCAAAAUAUGGUUUCACUUCAACAUACUACUGCAUUCUGAAGAGAAACUGACUA
rnacentral:lncRNA from 1 species